UAUGAUUACAGGUAUUUAUACACUGUUUAAACAUCUGAAUUGUGAUUAAAGCAAUUAAGCGUAUGUUAAGUACGUCACACUCAGAUGGAAAAGCGCCUAAACGGUGCUUUUUUUGUAAAUUU
rnacentral:ncRNA from 1 species